ensembl:lncRNA LINC01192 long intergenic non-protein coding RNA 1192
GAUCCCUGCAACAUGCUGCUGUUGCUGGGAGUGGGAAAGAGGUGGCAUCGGCGGUUCAAGACUGAGUUUUCUAUCUCUUCAGUGCCUCUUUCAACAAUGAAGAUCAAACCAGGUUUUGUGCAAAUAUCUGCUGAGUGAACUACUUAUUUGAAAAUACAUCAUUGGUUAAUAUUCCCUUUUGCUCAUUGAAAUCUCAAAGACUACAGACCCCGCACAAGACAUUCUGACAUUCCCGUCUUUGAAAUGAAUGACAGCAAUGAUAAAUAUGGCUCACCUCCAGAGAUACAGAUCUCACAACUUCAUAUUUUUAAUAUAAAUUAUUAAUCUGAGACAAACUACAAUAAAGCCAUGCCCUGACUGGAUGUGCCUAACAUUUGUCUGGUGCUUAAAGGAGUUGGCUGCAUGCGUGGAAAUGUUGGAAAGUCACCAAAAAUAGUUCUCCAAGUCAGAAGCGGUGCAAAAGCUGCCUCAGCUCUUGGUGGAUUUUCAAUUUCUCCCAGCCAUCUCUGUUUCGCUAAAGGUUUCUGAAGACAGUGGAAUGCUGUUGAAGACACCACCUUGAUAAAACAAAAACAUCAGCCAAAUUAAAUUUAAAGGAGUUUAAUUGAGCAAAGAAUUAUUCAUGAAUCAAGCAGUCUUCCAAGCCAGAGUAGGCUCAAAUACUCCAGCACAGCCACGUGGUGGAAGAUUUAUGGACAAAAGAAGAAAAGUAACAUAUAGAAAAUGGAAAUGAGGGGAAGCUUUUUUCUCCUCCCCAUCCUGAUCACUAGUAUGAGAAGGGGUGCUAAUGGACCAGCCUUGGCCUUGCAGAUGAAGAUGAUGAAGGAAGAAGAUGUAUAAAGAACCUCUGAAAGAGUCCCAGUUUUACAUUUCAAAGUCUUUUUCCUUCUGUUGUUUAUUGUGUUGGGUUGGAGUGGAGGAUAUUUGAUGGAGAAUUGAUUCUGAAACUUGCCAAAAUAUGGAUAAUACUUUGCUCCUUUUCCAUUGUGGGUUAUCACAAAGAAGAGUUUCACUUUUAGUCAUCUAUUUACAGAUAAUGAAGAUAUUAUACCAUUAUAUGCUCUUGAAUCUGUCUCAUUGUGACUUGGCGAAGAGGCAGUGAAUCUGCCAAAAAGAAGUAGAGCAGCUGUGAAGAUGCCAACACAAUUGAGUACUCUUUCUCUACAUAUUUCUAAAUAUGGCAAUUUAUUGGACACUUAUGAGCAUGGAAUGACAAUGGGGUCAAUUUAACCAUACGGCAAUGCUGAGACACCUUCAUUAUGACCUUUCCCUGGUAUAAGUUAUGUGAUAAUGAAUGCAUGUUUAGUCACACACUGUAGGUACAGAUGGGAAAAAAGAAAGCAUAAAAUAUAAAACAUGAUGUCCAGGUUUCAAAUAAGAAUUCUAAAAUGUUAUUUAAUUAAUGAAAUGAAAAUACUUUACUUUAGAAAAAGAAUAUUGAAUCUCUUUGAUGUAUAAAAUGUAUAUUUCAAAUUAAAAAUUCAAAAGAAACAAA